AAAACUUUCAACAACGGAUCUCUUGGUUCUGGCAUCGAUGAAGAACGCAGCGAAAUGCGAUAAGUAAUGCGAAUUGCAGAAUUCCGUGAGUCAUCGAAUCUUUGAACGCACAUUGCGCCCGCCAGCAUUCUGGCGGGCAUGCCUGUUCGAGCGUCAUUUCAACCCUCAGGCCCUGCCUGGCGUUGGAGGACUGCGCACGCAGCCUCCCAAAGCGAGCGGCGGCGGCGCCCCGAAACCGAACGCAGUAGUUACCUCUCGUUCUGGGUCCGGGUCGUUGUCCUGCCGGAAAACCCCCAUCUCAUCAAUGGUUGACCUCGAAUCAGGUAGGAAUACCCGCUGAACUUAAGCAUAUCAAUAAGCGGAGGAAAAGAAACCAACAGGGAUUGCCUCAGUAACGGCGAGUGAAGCGGCAACAGCUCAAAUUUGAAAUCUGGCCUCUGGCCCGAGUUGUAAUUUGCAGAGGAUGCUUCGGGCGCGGUGCCUUCCAAGUCCCCUGGAACGGGGCGCCGGAGAGGGUGAGAGCCCCGUACGGUUGGCGGCCAAGCCUGUGUGAAGCUCCUUCGACGAGUCGAGUAGUUUGGGAAUGCUGCUCUAAGCGGGAGGUAGACCCCUUCUAAAGCUAAAUACCGGCCAGAGACCGAUAGCGCACAAGUAGAGUGAUCGAAAGAUGAAAAGCACUUUGAAAAGAGGGUUAAACAGCACGUGAAAUUGUUGAAAGGGAAGCGCUUGCGACCAGACGUGCGCCGGGGUGCUCAGCGGGCGUUCUCGCCCGUGCACUCGCCCCGGCGCAGGCCAGCGUCGGUUUGGGUGGGGGGAUAAAGGCGUCUGGAAUGUGGCUCCUCCGGGAGUGUUAUAGCCAGGCGUGCCAUGCCUCCGCCUAGACCGAGGUACGCGUUCUGCAAGGACGCUGGCGUAAUGGUCUCCAGCGACCCGUCUUGAAACACGGACCAAGGAGUCGAGGUUUUGCGCGAGUGUUUGGGUGGAAAACCCGCACGCGUAAUGAAAGUGAACGUAGGUGAGAGCUUCGGCGCAUCACCGACCGAUCCUGAUGUUUUCGGAUGGAUUUGAGUAAGAGCGUAGGGCCUCGGACCCGAAAGAUGGUGAACUAUGCUUGGAUAGGGUGAAGCCAGAGGAAACUCUGGUGGAGGCUCGCAGCGGUUCUGACGUGCAAAUCGAUCGUCAAAUCUGAGCAUGGG
rnacentral:rRNA from 1 species